rnacentral:rRNA from 1 species
GAGUUUGAUCGUGGCUCAGAACGAACGCUGGCGGCGUGGAUUAGGCAUGCAAGUCGAACGCGAAAGGGGAGCAAUCCCUGAGUAGAGUGGCGAACGGGUGAGUAACGCGUGAAGAACCUGCCUUCAACAGGGGGAUAACACUCCCAACGGGGUGCUAAUACCGCAUGAGACCACGGGUCCACAUGAACCUGAGGUCAAAGGUGGCCUCUAUUUAUAAGCUACCGGUUGAAGAUGGCUUCGCGUCCCAUUAGCUAGUUGGCGGUGUAACGGACCACCAAGGCGACGAUGGGUAGCUGGUCUGAGAGGAUGGUCAGCCACACUGGGACUGAGAUACGGCCCAGACUCCUACGGGAGGCAGCAGUCGAGAGGCUUCGGCAAUGGGGGAAACCCUGACCGAGCGACGCCGCGUGGAGGAUGAAGGCCCUUGGGUUGUAAACUCCUUUUGUUGGGGAAGAAGUGCGAUCAGGUGAACAAUCUGGUCGUUUGACGGUACCCGACGAAUAAGCUCCGGCUAACUCCGUGCCAGCCGCCGCU